GCCUUGGCUCAGUUCAACUCAACUCAACUUCAGAUGCUGAACUGCAAACAACAGAGAAUCAGAUAUUGGCAAAAGAGAUGCUCUAGAAAGAACAACGACAAAAAAAUCCUGAUGGAUUCCUUAAUCAUAAAGAUCUCAAAUAGUGACUCUGCCUUAGGACUCUGACGCUUAGAGCUGGAUUGAUUAAA